rnacentral:misc_RNA from 1 species
CGCAUGAGCAACAGGACAGUUUCCCGUCCUCGAGUCAACACGGGGCACGACAAGCUUUCGUAGGGACAAUUAUUUCGGGGCAAAAAAGGGACAAGGAACCCAACCGAUCAUGUUUCUCCAUACAUGACUUCAAGAGACACUUGGGUGCACGAUUCCCGCUAGCUAAAGUGGCAAAGCAAGGACGGACACCCAUAGGAAUUUCGGGGUCUACUUGGCACAAUACAAUUUGCACAAGAUAGAGUAGGGACCGUGGGACUAGAGAAUUCCGUCAAAAUAGGUAUGCUACACAGAGGGCCAGGCAUACCCGAGGCAAAAGAUUCAGCACACGGGCAGCAUUGAACAGGUGUGAACAAGCGGUUGUCGCUGCCAAGGCAGGGAUCCAACCAACCGGAACAUACC